AGACUGAAGGAAGAAUACAACUGAAGGAAGGAUACAUUCAGAAAACCAUAUCUCACUCAAAACAGCAUGGAUGUAUGCGUGAGGAAGCACUGGAGACACAAAAUAACACCACAAGU